rnacentral:rRNA from 1 species
GUGAAAUUGUCGAAAGGGAAGCGCUUGAAGUCAGCCAUGCUGCUUGAGACUCAGCCUUGCUUUUGCUUGGUGUAUUUCUCGGUAGCAAGCCAGCAUUGGUUCGAGUCGUCGGAGAAGGGUAUGAGAAAUGUGGCAUCCUCGGAUGUGUUAUAGACUUGUACUGGAUACGACGAUUUGGAUCAAGGAACGCAGUGUGCCUCUGGC